rnacentral:lncRNA from 1 species
UUCUACUGAUUUGCUCCUCGCACUUGUUGGUCUGCUAAUUUCUACACUAAAUUUUAGUGAUCUCCUUAAAUUUUUAUAAAUAGCCAAUUACCUUCUUCCUCAUUGUUAGAUUACUCAACAUUGCAUCAAAAUUUCGUUCAUGUUUGUCACAUAAACAACACGUGAGCUAAUAAAGAGGGUAAAAACAGCAUGUUCCAUACUAUGGCAUAGGUUAAUAGAUCAGACUUGCACGAUUUGAAGAGAGUAGAAUUGGUUCGUACAUGUAGAUUUUUGUGACUGACGAAAAGUCAUCAUAACCUCUUAAGUAGUUCAUUAGAUGUAUACGUAAUGCGUGACAAAUUAUUAAGGAAAUUGAUUACUUACAAAUUGUUCAGGAGUACAAAUAACUAAAAUAAAAUUCAUGAUGAAAAUUGGCUAAACCUCAUUAAUUGGACUUGUGAUUUUUUAUGCGAAAAACCGACCAAUGAAUGAACGCGAUUUUGUUUUAAAAACUUUUUGAUAGUGAUGAAAAUGUGUUGUACGUCUACGUGAGGAUGGUGAUGGUGGUGUGGACUUUG